rnacentral:rRNA from 1 species
CUAGUUGCUACGAAAGGGCACUCUAGAGAGACUGCCGGUGACAAACCGGAGGAAGGUGGGGAUGACGUCAAGUCCUCAUGGCCCUUAUGGGUAGGGCUUCACACGUCAUACAAUGGUGCAUACAGAGGGUUGCCAAGCCGCGAGGUGGAGCUAAUCCCAGAAAAUGCAUCGUAGUCCGGAUCGUAGUCUGCAACUCGACUACGUGAAGCUGGAAUCGCUAGUAAUCGCGGAUCAGCAUGCCGCGGUGAAUACGUUCCCGGGUCUUGUAC